rnacentral:rRNA from 1 species
UACGGAGGGUGCAAGCGUUAUCCGGAUUUACUGGGUUUAAAGGGUGCGUAGGUGGGUAGGUAAGUCAGUGGUGAAAUCUUCGAGCUUAACUCGGAAACUGCCAUUGAUACUAUCUGUCUUGAAUACUUUGGAGGUAAGCGGAAUAUGUCAUGUAGCGGUGAAAUGCUUAGAUAUGACAUAGAACACCAAUUGCGAAGGCAGCUUACUACACAGUCAUUGACACUGAGGCACGAAGGCCAGGGGAGCAAACGGG